UUUCGGGAUGGCGAUGGAGUUCGCCACUAAGUCUGUAAGGCUGAUAACUCCUACCACUUU
rnacentral:ncRNA from 2 species